rnacentral:rRNA from 1 species
UACGUAGGGUGCAAGCGUUAAUCGGAAUUACUGGGCGUAAAGCGUGCGCAGGCGGCUUUGCAAGACAGAUGUGAAAUCCCGGGCUUAACCUGGGAACUGCAUUUGUGACUGCAAGGCUAGAGUACGGUAGAGGGGGAUGGAAUUCCGCGUGUAGCAGUGAAAUGCGUAGAUAUGCGGAGGAACACCGAUGGCGAAGGCAAUCCCCUGGACCUGUACUGACGCUCAUGCACGAAAGCGUGGGAGC